rnacentral:rRNA from 1 species
UACGUAGGGUGCGAGCGUUAAUCGGAAUUACUGGGCGUAAGCGUGCGCAGGCGGUGAUGUAAGACAGAUGUGAAAUCCCCGGGCUUAACCUGGGAACUGCAUUUGUGACUGCACGGCUAGAGUGCGGCAGAGGGGAUGGAAUUCCGCGUGUAGCAGUGAAAUGCGUAGAUAUGCGGAGGAACACCGAUGGCGAAGGCAAUCCCCUGGGCCUGCACUGACGCUCAUGCACGAAAGCGUGGGGAGCAAACAGG